AGUUUGUUGGCCGAGUAGGUUUUAAUUUCUUAAAUUAAUUACGUGUAAUAAGGUU
rnacentral:tRNA from 1 species